UAGCGGACUUUUAUUACAUCGACGCCAUUUUUCACGGUUAACGAACACGAGAGGUUGCUGCUCGAGACCUCAAGUCUGCAUUCUAAGAUUAAAGUAACGCCGGCACAGAAAGACCGAUCUUUUAAAAAUGUUAAAAAGAGAGAAAUUGACAUAUUUUAAAAUGCGCAGAGCUUCUGUGUCCUUGAAUGUCUCGCCUGCAAGGGAAAAAAUUCUGGAGUGAAGCUCUUCGUUUCCAUCUUUUCUCCAGUUCUUGUUUGUUUUGUAUCUCCAUGUUGUCCCUAUCCCUUUUGUACACGUGGAAAUCCCUGAUUGUGGAUGACUUCUGCAUUCAUCUGAAAACUGCAGCUGUGGAAAUCAUCCACCAUAAUGAAGGAAGCUGAAUUGUCCCAGUACCAUGUUCCUGGACAUCCCUGAUGGCAGAUCUGCACAUUUGACUGGUUGUGGCGAAACUGGAUGAAUCUUGUCCCAUCAGCUGUAGAAAUCUUCAGGCUAUGAUGGAAUUGCCAUGUCACAAAGCAGACUAGAAGCCGUCAUGUUGGUCUGAGGGAAAAAAUGUUUUACAAGGUCGCUAGUGAGCAGCGAUUUCGAUUUCUAAACCAACAUUUUAAAGGUAAUGGUUUGCUGUGUGUAAAUUACAAUAUUAAAAACUAAAAAUUAGGGCUGUCAAACGAUUAAAAUUUUUAAUCGCGUUAAUUACAGCUUAAAAAUUAAUCGCAAUUAAUCGCAAUUCAAACCAUCUAUAAAAUAUGCCAUAUUUUUCUGUAAAUUAUAUAUAUAUUCUGUAAAAUAAAUUGUUGGAAUGGAAAGAUAAGACACAAGAUGGAUAUAUACAUUCAACAUACGGUACAGAAGGACUGUAGUGGGCAUUUCACUCUACUGUCAUUUAAAUCUGUCUAUGCUGUCCUCACUCCGAAGCGUCUACUUUUUCCAAAGCUAGACAGCUAGUGAACGACGCCUUAAUAAUCAGACUUCUUCCUUUUUCAUCUGAUUAAUAAAAUGGCCUCAAACCAUUGUCCUCUUUAGACCGUCGUAAAACUACAAAAUAAAAGUACACAAGCAUUGCAUUAGCAACAACGUUAGCUUAGCACGCUAUACAGGUUCACUAAACAUAAACAAAAAGCGUCUCAUACAAAAAAUAUAACAUUUCGCUUACUAACAUAAUAUGUACAUUCUUUACAACAACCAUACUUACGGACAAAUCUUGUCCAAGGAUCAUAUAAGCACAACAUUAUCAGCCCGAGACGUCGUGCAGCCAUAAUGAAGAAAAGAAGAAAAUAAUAAACCAUGUCGCAAAGCGACCACAAGAGUUCGCUGUUGGACAGCGCAAAAAGCCUUGCUGUAAAACUUAGCAAAAGGCAGAAUACUUUCUGAGCGGGACAUGUGCGUUAAUUGCGUCAAAUAUUUUAACGUGAUUAAUUUAAAAAAUUAAUUACCGCGCGUUAACGCGAUAAUUUUGACAGCCCUACUAAAAAUGCAAAAAGGACAUGUUUUCAGUCACCAGUAUUUUUUUCCCCCAAAGUAUAGCACUCUUGAAUUUUAAGUCCGCUUUCAUCAAAGACAUGGGUGGCUGCCCUGUUCAACAUGUCUGUCUUAAGAAUAAAUUUCACCUACAUGUGACCAGUUUGUGGGUACCACAGAUACCUUAUAUCCUUACCCGUCCCUCCACGAUCUAGCAGAUUUAAAAACAUUUUUUGUGUGAUAGUUGUAGACAAAACUGCUUGAUUUUGUGGUAAUUUUAAAAACCUGUAAAGGGAUGAGGGUAAAGAAACUCGCAUGACUGGUCAAAAGUCAUGCAUAUUGGACAAAAUUGCAGUGCCUUGAAUUCACAAGAAUUGGUUGAAAAUGCGUUACUUUCAGUCACAAAUUCUGGAAUUGGUAACUGAUCAGGUGUGGACCAUUCUAAAAAUAUCAAUGAUUGGAUGUGCAUCUUUGAUAUUAUUUUCCCUGUAGUGAUCAUUUGAUGAGAUGCAUUUAAUUUAAUGGUAAGCUUAAUUGAGAAUCUGCCAGAGUGUGUGUUUCCCCCUAUAUCAAAAUGGCGGCUACUUGUCAACUUUGGGCAUUCCUGAACGCGCAGUGAUUGACUGGAUCCACUUCAGUACAUGUUGGGGUUAGAAGUUGUCUUCUGGCAGGAGGAAGUUGAUAUUACCUGUGGCAACCUGCCGACUCUUCUGCUAGCAAAACCGCUACCUCCCUUGGCUUGGGUUCAUUGAUCAGGACUCGGAAGUUCUCCACCCUGCAGAUGGAUUUCUGUCCUGAAGUUUCCCUCGGGGCUAUUUAUGAAAUAAUGCAUGUUUGAAAAAAAUAUACAUAUAGGGAGUGGAGGUGGGGGGUGUAGCCAUGGCAGCAAUGUCCUAUAUAGACCCUACCCACGUGACGUCACAACUCCGCUCUCCUGAAUGGUACCGCCCAAUUGUCCGUCAAAACAUAGUGUUAACCUGUUACGGCUACGUACAUUCCUCCUAUUUACGGCGUGUUUUUCUGCUCCUUAACAUUAAUAAUCAAAAUGGUGAAGGCGUGCGUGGCUGUUGGUUGCACUAACAGAGAAGAUGGAAGGAGAGACUUGAAGUUUUACCGUAUUCCGAGGGAUCCAAAGAGGAGAGCGAAAUGGACGGCUGCAAUUCGACGUGAAAACUGGGCACCAAAAAAUCACCACAGACUAUGUAGUAGUCAUUUUAUAUCCGGUAAGAUGCAUUUAAGAUAUACUUAGAGGUAGUGAUGGGUCCGUGAGACCUCAUGAAGCGUGUCGACACAGUGACACACUGUGUUGACACAGUGUGGAUACUGUGUCAUUGAAUACUGACACCUGCUGGACAUAAAAAAUCCCUACAGGCAACCCACUUGACAGACUGACACUGAAUUGAUGACAUAGCAUGUAAAAUCAAAUAAUUUAAGUCUUUGCAUUCAUAUUGCAUUAUUCCAUAUCUUUAAAUUAUGUGAACAUAUAUUAUAAUGUGAAAAUGUUAGUAAUAAUGAAUGGGUGAAUGAGGAAUGCCUGUGGACUUUUUGUUCUGUGACACUGAAUUGAUGACAUAGCAUGUAAAAUCAAAUAAUUUAAGUCUUUGCAUUCAUAUUGCAUUAUUCCAUAUCUUUAAAUUAUGUGAACAUAUAUUAUAAUGUGAAAAUGUUAGUAAUAAUGAAUGGGUGAAUGAGGAAUGCCUGUGGACUUUUUGUUCUGAUAAAAUUUUAUUCAAAAACAUAGUUUUUUUUUUUUUAAUGUUUAAAAUUUAGUUGGUUACCUUUUUAAAAUCAAACAAGCCUGCUGUGGACAACACACUCGCAUGGAACCAAUGAUGCCAGCAUGCACAAGAAUUUCCAGUUGAAAGAGGUUUGGAUAAGAUGUCCAUUGGCUCAGUUUGGCUUCGGUUCAUGUUCGGCUCAGCCAUGCAUCGUUGCACUUUUGCAAUUUCAUCUACAGUUGCAUUGCCUUCUUGACUCCCCACUUCGUGAUCUAAGUGCUACCAUAACCCACCAGAAAGAAAUUGAAGUGGACAAAAAAUAAAUUAUAGCUUAAUUACAGAUUUCUAAUAAAUUACCAAAAAAGUGACUGUGGGAAAGUAAAGGAAUGGCUCUAUACCUGUGUUUAUUUUGGGAUUAUCAGAAACUUCAUUCUCAUGCUUGGGCCAGUAAUGCUUCAGCAUUGAGAAGGUGGCAACUGUUUGUAUAUGGCAGGUUAGUCAUAUACAAAGUACAAAUGCAACAUUUCACCUGCAAAAAAAAAAAAAAUAACUUUAAUAGUAAAACCGAAAAUUUUGGUCUUGCGCUGCGAUAUGUUCUGACCAGGAUUCGAACCCGCGCGCACUACGCGUCGGGGACGAGUGGCGUUCGCUCUGACCACCAAGCUAACAUGUCAAAUGCAGGUAAAGGUGUAGGCAAGGCUCUACAAAUUACGGACCCGCGUGUACCUGUCACACUAAUAAACUCAGAUUUACAUUAAAAUUGUAUUUUGAAUGGAAGAUGACAACUGCAUUUUCCCUGUCUUACGUCCAUUUCCACAGCAUGUAGACAACGAGGAAGUAACCGUGAGAUGUGGAUUGUUUCAGCAGCUCCAUCGCGUUGACAGACGCGCUUCCUUUUGAAGCAGUUUGCCGCGUCAUGACUGUCGACACAGUUCAAUGAGUUCAUGCAUUGGUCACGUGAUUUUCUUGUAGCGAUACGCGCACCGAUGCAGGGGUUGCUCCAUGAGCUCGGCGCGCGCGCCGGCGCAUUAGUAUCACUGGACCCAUCACUAUUUAGAGGGUUUUGGGCUGACAAAUAACCACGAUUAAGAUCAUUGCUAGGCUAAUCGCCGACAACAUACACGUAUGUAUGUAGUGAGAGUGCUAUCGCUAAACCAUAUAAACAAAUAAAAGCCUUAACUCCAUUGACAAACGACAUGAAAUACAUUAGACUUGACAGUGGAUGUUAGCAAUAACAAAAAGAUUUUGAAUUGAAAAUUUCGUAACUCACCUUUCCAAGCACAACAUAGAUUCCUGCCGAAUUUUCGUGGACGAGGACCUGUUUCACCCAACCAGCAACGAAGUAUUUAUAAGCCUCCAAGCUCUUGAAGUUUUUCAAAUUUUCGUGAGAAUAGGCUGAUUUUGUGUGGACAAGAUAAUUGUAAAUAUCAGCGUAGCAGAUGUCAGGCAGACAGGGCGAAGACAGUGGGUCGAAAAACAUCGAUUUGGGCAUCAAAUAUGGAUCUGGCGACUGUAUAGAACGAAGCUUUUCCACAUAACGCCUUUUAUGCAACACAUCCAGUGAGUUUACGGCAUCAGAAAGCACCGGGUCUUCCAUGAAAUGCAUUUUAAAUUCCUCGAUCAAUUGAAACCAAUGCUAAUACAGAGACAAAAUGACGGACAAGUGGGCGGAACCAUACAGCGAGCACGUGGUUUUGUGACGUCGGUGGGUAGGGUCUAUAGGUACUAGUGAUUUCCAAACUACAAUGCAUCCCUCCCCAAGGAUAUAAUGUAAAUUUAAACAUCUAUGAAAGUUGUGUUUAGAGUGCUUUUGUCACAAAAGUACUUUUUAGAAUCUGAAGCCGCUUGUUGAAUUUUUGAUGUUGACAAUCUGAAUAAAAUUGCUUGUUCAAUAUUUUUUUUAAUGCACAGUAAUAAUGGGAACCCUAAAAGGUCAAAUGUUCUCCACUAAAUUUUCUUUAGGUUGGUAGGUUGUGUGCUGCUAUGCACUUUUAAGUCCUACAGUAUGUGAAUUUUAAUAUUUGAAAUGGACCAGAUUAGCAAUAAACUACUACUUCCAUGUGUUUUUUAAAAUGAAGCAUGAAUUGUACACAUUAAUAAUUAAGAUAUUUGACAACUGAAAUGGCAUAUCACCCCAUUAAUUGGUAUGUGCUGUGUGAACAAUGUUCAUAUCUUACAUUGCCAUUGUCUAGGACGGGCCAGGGCUAGACCGUUGCAAGUUUAGGCCUUGUUCCGACUGUCAGCCAAAUCUGAUUUUUAGCCCAUCCAGAUUGAAACUGGACCCUUUCUAAAACUAGGGAAGUCAGCCCAAAGAAAUUUGAGGAGGAAUCCAUUUGGAUUCACAUAUGCCUGCAGUCUGAAUGCAGCCUUAUAGCCCCAUUCAGAAGUAUCUGGGUGCCUGGGAUAACCCAAAAAAUAUUUUGGCUUCAGUGUCUCUGCAAGCCAAAUAAUUAAAAGGGUGCUACGUAUUUUUUCAUUUGAGCACAAAAAUUGUAUACGAAUACAGCACAAAUUAAAUGCAGGAAAAUGUUUUACAUUUUGUUAUAUAUUGUUAAGUGGGAACUUCUUACUGGUAGGAGUAACCAAAUAACCUCAAAAAGGUGAAAAAUGUUAUCAAGAGAAAGAUUCUGAAGUGAAAUGGAAUUAAAAGCAUAUUUAUUUGUUGGGCGUAGCCUGUCUAAAGUUCCAUGAAACAAAAAAAUGCAAAGCACAAAAGCAUGUUGUAUUGACUUUAAAAAUAUGCCAUUAAAACUUUUCAACAUGAAAAGAAAAAGACCAGGGGUAUUUAGUUUGUCUCGUGCAAACUUCCAGAAAAAGCGCAAAGGAUAUAAACCUCAAAAAUCCUUUGGAGGUGUCAAGAGUCAUUGUGCUUUAGAACAAAACCUCACGGUGAUUGGGUUGGCUCCAUCCAACCAAACGUUAAACCUGUCCUACUCAUCUGUUUUUUCCUCGCUUUGAUAAUGUCGAUACUCAGGCUUGAGCUCCCAAGUGUUUUUGUGUGUCCCCUUCACAUUGUAUAUGCCAAUGUCGCGGAGGAUUUCUUUCAGAUAAAUCUGUGAACAAGAGAUGUUUUUUGAAAAUAUUGCCAAAUAUCUUCUGUAUAUGACAGGACACAUACAACAUUUUGGGAGAGGUGAAUUUGAAAACGCUUAAAUUUUAAGACCCUAUAAAGUGAAUUCAGAUUUGUUUUAAAUAGAAAUUAAACUAUAUAAGAUUUGUGUAUUCAUGGAAAAUUCAGCACAAAGUACUUGAAUCAAACAAGGAUAUAAUGAGAAAUCUGUGCCAACACUUCUGCACUGUUACAAUUGUCCCCAAUUACACAAUUAUGCACAAGAAUUUUUUUUAAGGGCCCAGUGAUGGAAUUCGGCAUCCACCACAAAUUAUCAACCCCACAUUAUAUCACACUUUGUUUCCCUUGUAGUUAACUAUUCUUACAACUCAAAUUCGGUAUUUCAAAGCUCUACAUUAUCAAAAUGUCUCACCACAGGCUGUUUGGUUAUGUCCACCAGGUCUUUGAUGUUGUAGUAUUGGUGUUUCUCAAAAGCAGAAAACAACAUGUCCAACACUUGCUGUUUGUCAGCUCUUGCUCGCUUGCCUUCCUCUUUCUUUUUCCUCUCAUAUUCCAUCUGACAAAAAACAGAUAAUUACUCAUCGCUGGUCUUAACCAAGCCUGAAUUGUGAUCCAUUACACAUGAUUAAUACAGUACCUGCCCGAAUAGUUUGUGAAGUAAAUUGGUGAAUCCAGUAUCAAAAUUUAAACUUACCAGACACACAGGAAACAAUGUUAACGUACAAUGUGAAAGUUUAAAGCUGUAUCAACAUUGCUGCCUACAUAAUAAUGGGAAAUUGAUUUUUCACAGGCCAAAGAUGUAUGGAAUGAGAUGGUCAAACAAGAA